rnacentral:rRNA from 1 species
UACGUAGGGUGCGAGCGUUAAUCGGAAUUACUGGGCGUAAAGCGUGCGCAGGCGGUCUCGCAAGUCCGAUGUGAAAUCCCCGGGCUCAACCUGGGACCUGCAUUUGUGACUGCAUCGCUAGAGUACGGCAGAGGGGGAUGGAAUUCCGCGUGUAGCAGUGAAAUGCGUAGAUAUGCGGAGGAACACCGAUGGCGAAGGCAAUCCCCUGGGCCUGUACUGACGCUCAUGCACGAAAGCGUGGGGAGCAAACAGG